rnacentral:rRNA from 1 species
GAUGAACGCUGGCGGCGUGCCUAAUACAUGCAAGUCGAGCGAAUGGAUUAAGAGCUUGCUCUUAUGAAGUUAGCGGCGGACGGGUGAGUAACACAUGGGUAACCUGCCCAUAAGACUGGGAUAACUCCGGGAAACCGGGGCUAAUACCGGAUAACAUUUUGAACCGCAUGGUUCGAAAUUGAAAGGCGGCUUCGGCUGUCACUUAUGGAUGGACCCGCGUCGCAUUAGCUAGUUGGUGAGGUAACGGCUCACCAAGGCAACGAUGCGUAGCCGACCUGAGAGGGUGAUCGGCCACACUGGGACUGAGACACGGCCCAGACUCCUACGGGAGGCAGCAGUAGGGAAUCUUCCGCAAUGGACGAAAGUCUGACGGAGCAACGCCGCGUGAGUGAUGAAGGCUUUCGGGUCGUAAACUCUGUUGUUAGGGAAGAACAAGUGCUAGUUGAAUAAGCUGACACCUUGACGGUACCUAACCAGAAAGCCACGGCUAACUACGUGCCAGCCGCCGCCGUAA